rnacentral:rRNA from 1 species
UACGGAGGAUGCAAGCGUUAUCCGGAAUGCUUGGGCGUAAAGCGUCCGCAGGUGGCUAUGUAAGUCUGCUGUUAAAGAGUGAGGCUCAACCUCAUAAGAGCAGUGGAAACUACAUGGCUAGAGUGCGUUCGGGGCAGAGGGAAUUCCUGGUGUAGCGGUGAAAUGCGUAGAGAUCAGGAAGAACACCGGUGGCGAAAGCGCUCUGCUAGGCCGCAACUGACACUGAGGGACGAAAGCUAGGGGAGCGAAUGGG